CUCGACGAAAAAAGCCAAAAAAAAAACUCGAAUAUUUAUUACUGCACUAUAGGUCGUUUUUAUGGUCUUGCUUUAUUUUGAUACGCUUUACGAGAAAUUAUAUACCGACACCUUAGCGCAAUCUUUAUAAUUGUUAAUUACGGAUUAUUAUGAAUAUUUAUUAUUCAACUGCAUUUCGAGCCACUUUACUCAAAAAAUUGUGUAGGUUGGUACAGUCACUAAAUGUAUAAUGUACAACACUAAUUCGGUGCG